UGAACGGGGCGGCUGGCUCAUAACGUCACCUAACGUCACAUUAGACACUAAAAUGACCUUUGAACAAUUAAUAUAAAAACUGUCUAACUCUACGACCUGAAAUAGAUCUCAUACGAAGUUUAUUGUGCGUUUAAAGACUUUGUAACAUUUAUUUCUAAAACAAAAAGGAAACGAGGGGUUCUGUAAGGAAACUGACGUUGACGUACGAUUACGUCAGAACGUUAAAAGAAACCUUAAAGUUCAGUAUGUUUGCGUUAUCAGCUUUUAAGACUGAUACCGACAAAUAAACCACAAAUACAAGUUUCAACGGUCCAGGUAAAAGCGGCUCCACCCAACCUGAAGGAGGAGGAGGAGGAGGAGGGGGAGGAGGAAGGCGGAAGAGACGCAUACAGGUUCAGAACAGGUAGAUGUGGGUCACAGCUGGAGCUUCAUUCGUCUCUGAAUGGUUUUUGCUUUUGGAUGAAGAUCAAAUCAUCACUAGCUCAUCUGAAUCAGCCGCUUUGUGUUGUCAGUCCCAUCAGUGAGGCCAAAGAAGCCUCUGUUCAUACUCGUCUUGAAUUAGGGGGUGUUGGCCUCUGUGGCUUGUCUGUUUGUCUGUCUGUUGCUGUGUGAGAGGAAUGUUGUUGUUUAUGUACUUCUUUUAUCAGCCAAGACAUUUACAUUCAGCGCCCUGAAGAGCCAUGUUGUACUCACUCAACAAUAUUGCUCUCUGCUGGGAGAUUACUACAUUUUCCAAGUUAUUAUACAGUAUGUAGGCUGUGGACAAUUUUUAUAGCACUUGUCUAUUUUCAAGGCCUGCGACAUAUGCAGUCAGCUAUAACACAGUGACAGAACAUGCAAAAUAAAACGUGGUUUUUUUCCUUCAUA